CUGAUCUAGAAGAUGKAAAGAACCCAACUUAAUUUUAAUGUCCAAGCAGAAUUUGAACAGCUGGCAUCACCUCAGUUCUGUGAAGAAAAGUGGAGAAUACCUUCAUGUACUUGGUCAGGAAUCACUGGAGGGGAAGAGCACACUGAAAGCAGCCCAGCAGGCUCAGGGCACAUGAGAAAGAACUGAGUUCCAGCCACCCAAAUAUUUUUCUGAUGUGGAGGAGUCAAAGGAACAAAUAAACAYUAGACAGCCACAUGAAGAAGUCAGUGACAAAGGAAAAAAAGGAUGACCUUACAGUCUUUUAUUAGUGUUUAUACCARUGUCUGGAUUCCAAGCCACCCUGGAGCAGAAAGGUUUCCUGCCUUGCUUGCCAGAGUCUGUGAAGGGUGACCACUAUGUACAGAAAAACUGGGAAUAUAUGGAUGGAUCCUGAUUUGAAAAUUCACCCAGACACCUUUCUGAGGGUUCUGACUGCUGUACAGGUCUGUCCUCCAGAAUUGCUGCAGCUGUGAGGCUUGUGUGCAGACAGCAGAACUUUCCAGAACCACUGUGAGCCAUGAACACUCCUUUGAGGAGAGUCCCACCAGCCAGGAAUACAGCAAAACGUGGUGGAGAGACAACAUUCUGCCUUACAAGGAAUCCUGCUAGCAAGCCACAGCAUCUGAAAUCAGGAGAAGACCUUUAACAAAAGAAGGAUUUUGAAACUGUCCUGUCUCUAGCCCAUCUGCUUAGCCCAUCAUGAUAAGCAAUUUAUCCAUGAUCUUACCUCACUUGUAUCCCUGGGAAAAUCACUGCAGAGUGAUCAGUUUCUCUUUCAAGUCUCGGCAUGAAGUGCAAGGCUGUAAGCAGCAAUAUUGGGUACUCUGACUCACUCCCUUGGAGGGCUAUUUUUAUGAUUGUUCAUGGAACUAUAUCUUAAAACUCUCAGUUCAAGUUCUUAGAUCACUUUCACAGCUUUCUGCUGAGCCAUCUCAGCACAAUGCUUCUUCCCUCUGAGGUUACAAACUCUCCGAGGCCCUGGGGACCGUGACAGCCCUCCCUCACUGCAGCCUGUGACACCAAACUAUCGCCUGAGGAGCUCCUUCCUUUUCCUCACCUCAGUAAGUGGCUACAAGUCAGCGCCGUUUAAAAUUUAAUCAGUCUUGUCCUARCAGGAUAUAGUUCUUGGAUUUUAACCCAUCUACACAAACCACUAAAUUCGGCUACACUAACUGCCUCCUGACAGARCCUUUAUCUCAAGAACCUCUUAAUGAGCUCUCAUUAGCAGAAAUUGGCCCUGACUAUCUCACCACUUCCUGUCUCCUGCUUUCUCUGCAUCCCAUUAGCAUCUGUUAGCAGACUCGCUUGAACAAUUAAACUUUGCGAUUUCUAGAAACACACAAGAAACACCAGRUUCUGCUUAGAUCUGUGUCUUUGARAG